UAUCGCUCUCCCUGCAGUUCCAGAAGCUCACUGCGCACCUGUUGUUGAUGAAACCGCUCCGUGAAAGGCUGGUAUCCUAACAACCAGGAACAUUUGUUUAUGAGCGCCUGUCACUGCGACUUUUCUCAUCCCUUGAUCACCUCACCUGGGGAAUAUAUAAGACUGUGGCCUUCCUGAUGGUCUCCAUUCAAAUCCAAUUGCCUACGUUGCCAGAAGUCUUUCUGGAGUGCCUCUUGCCACAUCAAUGCAGACUCAUGAUCAUGAUGAGGCCAGUUCCUUAUUACUCACCACAUCAAAUCUUUUCUGGGUAGAGACAGGGUCUCACUAUGUUGCUCAGGCUAGUCUCAAACUCCUGGACUCAAGCUAUUCUUCUGCCUUGGCCUCCCAAAAUGCUGGAAUUACAGGCGUGAGCCACCGUGCCCAGGCACAACAUCAAAGUCAUAAGCCAAAUCCUGCAUUUCUUUGGUCAUGAUGUAUGCAUAGCAGUUAUAUAAUUAAGCUUAAAAUUAAUCUACAUAGUAACAGCAAUAUUAAGGACAAUCUUUUCUGUAACUUGAUUUACUGGAACACAAAUCUUUAUCCAUUAGCCUGAAAAAUAUCCAUUUCUGUAUAGUACCUAGGUUACUCACUUAAAUCCAAGAUUUGAGUCAAAAUAUAAGUACAGUUAAUCACAUUGUGUUAUAGCUGGUUAUAGGAAACUGGUUCCCAGACAAAUUCCCAUACACGAUCUGCUUAAGUGAGGAUAACAGAUUGACUCAGGAAUCAAAAGCAAUCCAUUUUUUAAAAAAGAAAAAAAUGAAAGAGAUGUCUCAUUCUAGCUGCCAGACUAUGAUUUCCUUGAAAUAAAAGAUUAUUUCAUUCAUCUUUACAUCCCGCAAGAAUAACAUAGUGUCUGAGAUGUGCUAGGCAUUACAUAAAUAUUGAUUAAAUGCAUAAAUGUAGACAUUGUUAAGCUGAAGAUUAAGUAUGUCUCACUUCAUAAUUUAUGAGAUAUGUUUUAAUUAUCAUUUGUGUUUUAGAAACCUCUGCAUAUAUAUUUCAUCUUUAUAUUGAUUUAUCGUGUCACAUCAUUUAAGCUUAUGCUAACAUUUAGUGCUCACUCACUUUUGUCUCCUUGGUUGAUCAUAUUUUUUCCCAGGUAUGUAUUAGAGUUUGGGCCACCUGGUGGAAAAGAAGAGAGAUCACUGAAGUCCCCAUAAGGGGCAGGGCCCUUACUUAAAGAAUAUACGCCUGUGGCAACUCAGAAAAGCUGGACCAUAA